GACGAACGCUGGCGGCGUGCUUAACACAUGCAAGUCGAGCGAUGAGAUCACUUCGGUGAAGGAUUAGCGGCGAACGGGUGAGGAACACGUGAAGAAUCUGCCUUCAACUCUGGGAUAACUCCGGGAAACCGGGGCUAAUACCGGAUAUGAGCCUUGAUCGCAUGAUCGGGGCUGGAAAGUUUUUCGGUUGAAGAUGACUUCGCGGCCUUUCAGCUUGUUGGUGGGGUAAUGGCUCACCAAGGCGACGACGGGUGGCCGGCCUGAGAGGGAGACCGGCCACACUGGGACUGAGACACGGCCCAGACUCCUACGGGUGGCUGCAGUCGAGAAUCUUCCGCAAUGGACGAAAGUCUGACGGAGCGACGCCGCGUGGAGGAUGAAGUGCUUCGGUAUGUAAACUCCUUCUGCCAGGGAAAAAGUUUAUUGAUUGUACCUGGAGAAUAAGAAGUUGCUAAACUCGUGCCAGCAGCCGCCGUAA
rnacentral:rRNA from 1 species